UACGUAGGGGGCAAGCGUUGUCCGGAAUCAUUGGGCGUAAAGCGCGUGUAGGCGGCCCGGUAAGUCCGCUGUGAAAGUCGGGGGCUCAACCCUCGGAUGCCGGUGGAUACUGUCGGGCUAGAGUGCGGAAGAGGCGAGUGGAAUUCCUGGUGUAGCGGUGAAAUGCGCAGAUAUCAUGAGGAACACCAGAGGCGAAGGCGGCUACCUGGACAGUUACUGACGCUCAGGCACGAAAGCGUGGGGAGCAAAAGGG
rnacentral:rRNA from 1 species